rnacentral:rRNA from 1 species
UACGUAGGGUGCGAGCGUUAAUCGGAAUUACUGGGCGUAAAGCGUGCGCAGGCGGUUUUGUAAGCCAGAUGUGAAAGCCCCGGGCUUAACCUGGGAAUGGCAUUUGGGACUGCAAGGGCUGGAGUGUGGCAGAGGAGACUGGAAUUCCUGGUGUAGCAGUGAAAUGCGUAGAUAUCAGGAGGAAUACCGAUGGCGAAGGCAGGUCUCUGGGCUGACACUGAC